UGGGGAAUAUUGCACAAUGGGCGAAAGCCUGAUGCAGCAACGCCGCGUGAGUGAUGAAGGCCUUCGGGUCGUAAAGCUCUUUGAUCAGGGAUGAUAAUGACAGUACCUGAAAAACAAGCCACGGCUAACUACGUGCCAGCAGCCGCGGUAAUACGUAGGUGGCGAGCGUUGUCCGGAAUUACUGGGCGUAAAGGAUGCGUAGGUGGAUAUUUAAGUGGGAUGUGAAAUCCCCGGGCUCAACCCGGGAACUGCAUUCCAAACUGGGUAUCUAGAGUGCAGGAGAGGAAAGCGGAAUUCCUAGUGUAGCGGUGAAAUGCGUAGAUAUUAGGAGGAACACCAGUGGCGAAGGCGGCUUUCUGGACUGUAACUGACACUGAGGCAUGAAAGCGUGGGUAGCAAACAGGAUUAGAUACCCUGGUAGUCCACGCCGUAAACGAUGGGUACUAGGUGUAGGAGGUAUCGACCCCUUCUGUGCCGCCGUUAACACAAUAAKKACCCCGCC
rnacentral:rRNA from 1 species